rnacentral:rRNA from 1 species
GGUCAAGUGAAGAAGCGCAUACGGUGGAUGCCUUGGCAGUCAGAGGCGAUGAAAGACGUGGUAGCCUGCGAAAAGCUUCGGGGAGUCGGCAAACAGACUUUGAUCCGGAGAUCUCUGAAUGGGGGAACCCACCUAGGAUAACCUAGGUAUCUUGUACUGAAUCCAUAGGUGCAAGAGGCGAACCAGGGGAACUGAAACAUCUAAGUACCCUGAGGAAAAGAAAUCAACCGAGAUUCCCUUAGUAGUGGCGAGCGAACGGGGAUUAGCCCUUAAGCUUCAUUGAUUUUAGCGGAACGCUCUGGAAAGUGCGGCCAUAGUGGGUGAUAGCCCCGUACGCGAAAGGAUCUUUGAAGUGAAAUCGAGUAGGACGGAGCACGAGAAACUUUGUCUGAACAUGGGGGGACCAUCCUCCAAGGCUAAAUACUACUGACUGACCGAUAGUGAACCAGUACCGUGAGGGAAAGGCGAAAAGAACCCCGGAGAGGGGAGUGAAAUAGAACCUGAAACCGUAUGCGUACAAGCAGUGGGAGCCUACUUGUUAGGUGACUGCGUACCUUUUGUAUAAUGGGUCAGCGACUUAUAUUCAGUGGCAAGCUUAACCGUAUAGGGUAGGCGUAGCGAAAGCGAGUCUUAAUAGGGCGUUUAGUCGCUGGGUAUAGACCCGAAACCGGGCGAUCUAUCCAUGAGCAGGUUGAAGGUUAGGUAACACUGACUGGAGGACCGAACCCACUCCCGUUGAAAAGGUAGGGGAUGACUUGUGGAUCGGAGUGAAAGGCUAAUCAAGCUCGGAGAUAGCUGGUUCUCCUCGAAAGCUAUUUAGGUAGCGCCUCAUGUAUCACUCUGGGGGGUAGAGCACUGUUUCGGCUAGGGGGUCAUCCCGACUUACCAAACCGAUGCAAACUCCGAAUACCCAGAAGUGCCGAGCAUGGGAGACACACGGCGGGUGCUAACGUCCGUCG